UUUACAAGAUGUUAGAACAGCAAGCCGCUCUUUCACAGAUCUUUAGAAGAGCUUUAAAAGAUGCCGAGCCGCUCUUUUCCAGAUGUUUAGAAGAGCUUUAAAAGAUGCCGAGCCGCUCUUUCCCAGAUCUUUAGAAGAGCUUAAAAAGACGGUCAUGAUUCUACAUAACAACAUCCGCUUGACCUCGCAAUGCCAAGAAGAAGAAAGGCGUGGAACAUUUGCUUAAGCCUGUCAAGAUCUUCAGCAGAUGUUUGAGCAAAAAGUCAUCAUCCUCUUCGUCACUCUUCAUCCGUAUUUGGGGUAACAAGCACCUGCUUCCCACAAGAGACUGGACAGCUGAUGUCAGACCUGCACCUUCCUUGAACAUGUUGGUAUCUUACUCUGUAUUUGUUCACGGUGGUCACCCCAGGGUCUCAGGACUCAAAUUGAGUGCUCUAUGGAUUAAACAGAAAAUGCAGUAUAAACAAGUGUUAUGUUGUCUUCAACAUGUUGGUAACUUACUCUGUAUUUGUUCACGGUGGUCACCCCAGGGUCUCAGGACUCAAAACGAGUGCUCUAUGGAUUGAACAUAAAAUGUAGUAUAAACAAGUGUUAUGUUUUUAAAUGCCACUAAUAAUGUGUUUCUGUUUUCUUUCUCAUUAUGCUAACAAACACUCUUUUACCCCUCAUGUUAGGUAGAUCAACACUCCAACCAUCUGCAUUAGGGACUGAAUAAAGGAUGCCCUCUGUAGCUGGGAAUGUUAGAUCAGGCGGAUCAACAUUCCAUCCAUCUGCAUUAGGAUCUACCUUAGAGACACUCACUGGAGCUGUAAAUGGGAAGCAGGUCACUUACUUUGCAUUCGUCCUUGGUGGUCACCCAAGGGUCUCUAGAGUGAAAAUUACUCAAUCUAUGGAUUAAACAGAAAAUUUAGUUGUAUGAAGUGCAAUUUGGGACAUUCUUCCAGUUGUCGGCAACUUUGUGAAAAAGGCUGGAAACUUAAAUGCAGAAUUCUGGCCUGGUGUUUGGUCUGUGCUGUCUUUGGCUCUUGCAUCUCCAUCAUCCUGACCCUCUUUAGCAGCCUGUCCAUGUAUUUAUUUGGAGGCCACCAUGAGCACCCAUCUGCAUAAUAUGACUUUGUUAC